UACAGAGGUCUCAAGCGUUGUUCGGAUUCAUUGGGCGUAAAGGGUGCGUAGGCGGCUUGUCGCGUCGGCUGUGAAAACCUGGGGCUCAACCCCGGGCCUGCAGCCGAUACGGGCAAGCUAGAAUUCGGUAGGGGAGACUGGAAUUCCUGGUGUAGCGGUGAAAUGCGCAGAUAUCAGGAGGAACACCGGUGGCGAAGGCAGCCUCCUGGGCCGACACUGACGCUGAGGGCACGAAAGCGUGGGGAGCAAACAGG
rnacentral:rRNA from 1 species